rnacentral:rRNA from 1 species
CAGCCGCCACGGGAAAACGUAGGGCGCAAGCGUUGUCCGGAAUUAUUGGGCGUAAAGAGCUCGUAGGCGGUCUGUCGCGUCUGGUGUGAAAUCCCGAGGCUCAACCUCGGGCUUGCAUCGGGUACGGGCAGACUAGAGUGCGGUAGGGGAGACUGGAAUUCCUGGUGUAGCGGUGGAAUGCGCAGAUAUCAGGAGGAACACCGAUGGCGAAGGCAGGUCUCUGGGCCGCAACUGACGCUGAGGUACGAAAGCAUGGGGAGCAAACAGGAUUAGAUACCCGUGUAGUCCCUGUCUCUUAUAC